UGGGGAAUAUUGCACAAUGGGGGAAACCCUGAUGCAGCGACGCCGCGUGAACGAAGAAGGUAUUCGUAUCGUAAAGUUCUGUCCUAUGGGAAGAUAAUGACAGUACCAUAGAAGAAAGCUCCGGCUAAAUACGUGCCAGCAGCCGCGGUAAUACGUAUGGAGCGAGCGUUGUCCGGAAUUAUUGUGCGUAAAGGGUACGCAGGCGGUUUAAUAAGUCGAAUGUUAAAGAUCGGGGCUCAACCCCGCAAAGCAUUGGAAACUGAUAAACAUGAUUAGUGGAGAGGAAAGUGGAAUUCCUAGUGUAGUGGUGAAAUACGUAGAUAUUAGGAGGAAUACCAGUAGCGAAGGCGACUUUCUGGACACAAACUGACGCUGAGGUACGAAAGCGUGGGGAGCAAACAGG
rnacentral:rRNA from 1 species